GGAGUUUGCAACAAUAACUAUACUCAUUUAAAUACAUCAUAAAAUAUUAAAAUAUAAAAUAACAUACAGUCAUGGUUAAAAUUAAUAAUAAUUAAUCGUAACUUCUAAAUUUUAUUUACAGCUAAUCAUCUCAAGACAAUCAUCUUUUCUUAAUACAUAAUUUUCAAGCAGUGUAAAGGAGGUAAUCAAACAUAUAUAUAACAGUGUUCUUUAAAUGGAAUUAGAUUACCUCUCUUACACUGCUUUUAAAUUGUCUAAAUUGUCCUUUAACCAGACCCCCCCCCAAAUUACUAAAUGAUUUGAGCCAUAACCCCUUAUAACCAUCCCUUUGUAGUAUGGAAACUAGUGGUAUGAUUCUAGAGAGAUUUAUACACUUAAACACAAGUUAUUGACUGGAAACUACAAAAAUGCUUAUUUGGGCCCUUUUUUUGCCCCCAACUUGUUGCAACCUCUCUUGGAGCAAAAACCCCAAAACUCAAUUCCAGCCUUUCCUUUGUAGUAAGAAACCUUGUAGUAUUAUUUCAGAGAUCCAUACACUUAAACACAAGUUACUGUCGGUAAACUUGAACCAGAUGCUCCGCAGGACGCAGCUUUAUACGACCGCAGAGGUUGAACCCUGAACGCUUGGGGCAAGUAUGGACACAACAUUCAAGCUCAACCUAAUUCAGCUCUAAAUUUGGAUUGUGAUUAAAUAGUUGACACAGCAUAGGUCUGGUCUAAUGAACUUAAUUUUUUUGCCUUUGAGCAAUUCACUAUGCUGUUGAAUAUAAAUCCUCUCAAAUAAAUGUUUGAAGAAAUUUUCUUUUUAUUUAUUAAAUCUGAUAUGAGAAAAAUUGAACCCCCCUCUCCAUUUUUUUUUCCACAUCCCCCUUUCCCUUAUUCCAAAAUUGAUCUCAAUUCAAAUUUCUAAU
rnacentral:lncRNA from 1 species